rnacentral:misc_RNA from 1 species
AUAGAUUUCAAGAUAACACAACCUUACAUAAAGAAAAUUGGUAACUAAUAGAGUAUCCUCAACAGCAAGAUAGCGCCAAUAAAUUGAAGAGAAAUUUAUAACUGGCUUUCUUCCUUUUGUGCUUGUGCAGUUUUGGUGGCUUAUGUAAGGUAUAGGUAAAAGAAAUGGUAAUGCUUGGUUCUCUUUUGGCCUCUAGUUACCUCACUGGACUUACAUAAAAGGAUUAUGAAUUCAACACAGCCAUAACUGAAUCUCAAACCAUGAUUUUAAGAGGAUUAUAGUUAUAAGUACUGAGUUGCAUAAUUGAAUUUACAAAUUAUCAAGGUACCCAAAAUUUUAAGCUUCCAACAUUACAGGGAACAACAUAACUGUUGUCUGAUCUUUCCUCCUCAUAGAACUGCCAUAAGAUUAAAGCCUUCUUCAUUUAAUCUAUAAGCCCUCUACUCUUCACAGGUUUGAUGACUUGUAUACUUUUUUAUUUCCGAUAGCUAACCUAAUGAUUCUUAUCCACAAUAAAAUUUUUCGAAGAAAGAAAAAACUGAGCAAUUUAAAAUUGAAUUGCAUUCUCUUACAUCAAUGAAGGCAGGAUUAGGAAACGCCUGUUUGCAGAUGGUUCUCCAUGGCAAGAGCUGCAAGCAUUCCACCCUGAAUGAUGCAGUUCAUCUCCUACAUAUGGCACAGGUAGCCUACUGAUAACUUUAGAAUAAGCAGGUGAGUUUGGAUCUACAUCCACUGUGGCUAGAUAAUCAGGCUUCUCUCUUCCCGUU